rnacentral:rRNA from 1 species
ACGUAGGUGGCAAGCGUUGUCCGGAUUUAUUGGGCGUAAAGGGAACGCAGGCGGUUUUUUAAGUCUGAUGUGAAAGCCUUCGGCUUAACCGGAGAUGUGCAUUGGAAACUGGAAGACUUGAGUGCAGAAGAGGAGAGUGGAACUCCAUGUGUAGCGGUGAAAUGCGUAGAUAUAUGGAAGAACACCAGUGGCGAAAGCGGCUCUCUGGUCUGUAACUGACGCUGAGGUUCGAAAGCAUGGGUAGCGAACAGGAUUAGAUACCCUGGUAGUCCAUGCCGUAAACGAUGAAUGCUAGGUGUUGGAGGGUUUCCGCCCUUCAGUGCCGCAGCUAACGCAAUAAGCAUUCCGCCUGGGGAGUACGACCGCAAGGUUG